rnacentral:lncRNA from 1 species
UCCUCGGUGAGGCCUUUGUGAUUCUCCAAGAAGCCUUGAGUGUAUCUGUCGAUGUUUAACCUGUCUGAUAUUCUAAACCUGUUGAGUCCGAGAACGGCGAGGACGAAGCCUAAGCAUAUGAGGUGGAUCACGAAGAUGGCUGACCAGAAGAUGUCGUGCCAGUGACGUGACUCGCGGACAAUGGCUCGGGUUCCUCCAUCCCCACUCCUUCUACUACUCCUCUGGAGAGACUACAAAAUCAUCAAAAUGAACAAUAAAAAAACAUUGAUUUGAUUCACAUGUUGUCUAAGCAACGAUAAUGAAUCUUCUUUACAGUACAAUGCAAACACUUUAUAGUGGUCAGACUCACGGAAAAGAGAGUUCUUUUUAUAAGAAAGAAGUGAUUUUGCAACUGGCCCGUGAUUUUAAGACACAAAAUGUGUGGGAAACAAUAUUAAGUUCAGGCAAGAUCUAACACGAGAAAAGACAAAGACUUUAUGCAAUGAAGUAGUGUAGAAAGCAAAACCCAGAAAGGGAUUCUCAAAUCAUAGACAACUGCUUCGUUUAUUGUUUAAAAACCCAGAUCGAGUAUUUAAGGAAGGGUUAUAAAAAAAAGGAGAACCUGGUCGCCGGAGGAAAUGGAGGCGUAAUCGGAGGAAGGAGAGGCGCUGUUGGUGGAGUCACUCAUGACGAAAGUAGGAGGAGGAGAAGAUUCACUGACUGGAAUCAAGUUUCAUGGGAGCAUCUUUGAAUAAUAUGAGAGAGAGAGAGAGAGAAAGGAAGGGAGAAUAGUCAAAGAAAGAGAAAAGUAAAGGAUUUGAGAAAAUGGUUUAUGAUUUGAGUCAAAGAAAUAUAUAUUUGAUAAAAUGAUCAGAGUGAAGAGAACGUUUCCGGCGAGAAAAUUAAGUUUUUGUCAGCGAGUGAUUGAAUUCAGACAGAGAGAGAAACAGCGGUUCUUCUACUUCUACUUCUACUUCUACUUCUUCGUCUUAUUGGAUAAGAAGCGUAAACAGUUUCCCGAGUGGUCGUUUUCGGACUCUCCGUAACUUAUUCGCUUUUAUUUCCUUUCUCAAAAAUGUUUUCUUUUCUUCUUUUGUUAAUUGCUUUAUUUCUGUUUCUAGAUUACAACUGUAAAUGAUUUUUUCUUUUUAUAUUUAAGUACUUACUGAUAUAAAUAAUAAUAAGUUAAUAAAUUAUGACUCAAGUUUACGUAAUGUCAGAAAACCAAGAAAAUUAAACUACGCAUGUACGUUAUAGUUUUCUUAAAAUGAUUUUUUUUUUAACUUACACAACUUAUAGACUUCUUUAAAUGAUCAUUUUAAAAUUUAAGUGAGUUCCUCUCAGUAUUCAACUUAAUUUGGGUUUUAUUGAAUUGAUUUUGUUGGUUAAAUUUUGAAGUGUAAUUAGACCAUCUCCAAUGAUUUACUCUAUGUUUUUUUGUAAAUAGAAUAACUCUAUAUAUGUUCCAAAAAAAAAGAAGAAUAACUUUAUAUAUAAUAAAGUUGAAUGUUGUUCCAAUAAUACUCUAUUUUAGAGUGAACAAUAGAAUGAUUAACAAAAAAAAAAUUACUCUAUAUAUAGAAUAAACCUAUUUUUUACUCUAUUAUUAUAGAGUGAAAAAUAGAAUAUCAUUUAUGCUUUUUUUCUAAAAUAGAAAAUAGAUUGGAGUUGGAAAUGCCUUCUAGGCCAUGCUGAUUUAGUCUCAAACAUUCAUUAUCGUGUGCAUCAUAAUGUAGUCAUUUGUGUGUACGUAUCAUAAUGUAGUCAUUUACAAAUUUAAAUGAAGCGGAGUAAAUUAUAUUUUCACAGACCUAGCCAAUCGCUUCAAAGUUAAUGUGGUGUGUGUAGGUUUAGUAUACUUUUAGGUAAUGUAUAGCCUACAUUUGGUAUAGAAUAUAAAUAUACAGAUAUUUAAAAAGGACAAGUCAGCAAAACUUGCCAGCUCACCACAAGAAGCCACCAUCGUCCUUCAUCCCCCAUGCUCGACGCCACAACACCAGACGCUCCAAAAGACCAAAGAGACAUCCACAAAAGCAUGAACACCGUGAAAGCAUGCGCCACCAUAAUAACCUUAGGAAGCCCCCAAACUAGCUUCAGCGCUUUCCUCAGAACCAGCAUCGUAAAGGGAAGCCUGUCUAUAACCGAAACAACAUAAAGAAACUGCAAGAGAGCUCCGAUAGCGAACGCGCCGCCCCAAAAGAACUGUCUGCACCAGAAACACAGGACACUGACCACAGCCAAGUAGGUGGUCAAGAUGUGAACCGAGACUUUCAUCAUCUCGUUGGCGUAAGAGCCGAGAAGCAAGGACCAGACCCAGCUGAUGAAGACUCCAAUGCCGCCGGCGACGGCGUAGAGCGGCCAGUAGUCCUCGGUGAGGCCUUUGUGAUUCUCCAAGAAGCCUUGAGUGUAUCUGUCGAUGUUUAACCUGUCUGAUAUUCUAAACCUGUUGAGUCCGAGAACGGCGAGGACGAAGCCUAAGCAUAUGAGGUGGAUCACGAAGAUGGCUGACCAGAAGAUGUCGUGCCAGUGACGUGACUCGCGGACAAUGGCUCGGGUUCCUCCAUCCCCACUCCUUCUACUACUCCUCUG